rnacentral:rRNA from 1 species
CCUACGGGAGGCAGCAGUAGGGAAUAUUGCUCAAUGGGGGAAACCCUGAAGCAGCAACGCCGCGUGGAGGAUGAAGGUUUUCGGAUUGUAAACUCCUUUUGUUAGAGAAGAUAAUGACGGUAUCUAACGAAUAAGCACCGGCUAACUCCGUGCCAGCAGCCGCGGUAAUACGGGGGGUGCAAGCGUUACUCGGAAUCAAUGGGCGUAAAGGGCGCGUAGGCGGGAUAGCAAGUCAGAUGUGAAAUCCUAUGGCUUAACCAUAGAACUGCAUUUGAAACUGUUAUUCUAGAGUAUGGGAGAGGUAGGUGGAAUUCUUGGUGUAGGGGUAAAAUCCGUAGAGAUCAAGAGGAAUACUCAUUGCGAAGGCGACCUGCUAGAACAUAACUGACGCUGAUGCGCGAAAGCGUGGGGAGCAAACAGGAUUAGAUACCCCAGUAGUC